rnacentral:rRNA from 1 species
CAGCCGCCGCGGUAACACGGAGGGUGCAAGCGUUAUCCGGAUUUAUUGGGUUUAAAUGGUCCGUAGGCGGAUCUGUAAGUCAGUGGUGAAAUCUCACAGCUUAACUGUGAAACUGCCAUUGAUACUGCAGGUCUUGAGUAAAUUUGAAGUGGCUGGAAUAAGUAGUGUAGCGGUGAAAUGCAUAGAUAUUACUUAGAACACCAAUUGCGAAGGCAGGUCACUAAGAUUUAACUGACGCUGAUGGACGAAAGCGUGGGGAGCGAACAGGAUUAGAUACCCGUGUAGUCCCUGUCUCUUAUAC